rnacentral:ncRNA from 1 species
AACACAGCGGGGAAGGAAGACCCUGUUGAGCUUAACUCUAGUCCGACUCUGUGAAGAGUCAUGAGAGGUGUAGCAUAAGUGGGAGGCUUUGGCCGACAGUGAAAUACCACUACUUUCAUCGAUUCUUUACUUAUUCGGUAAGACGAGAAUUGAGCCUAUCCGGCUCUUCAUUCUGGUGUUAAGUGCAGCCACUCGGUGGCCGCUCGACUCGCGCCGAAGACAGUGUCAGGCGGGGAGUUUGACUGGGGCGGUACAUCUGUCAAAUCGUAACGCAGGUGUCCUAAGGCUAGCUCAGAGAGGACGGAAACCUCUCGUAGAGCAAAAGGGCAAAAGCUCGCCUGAUCUUGAUUUUCAGUACGAAUACAGACCGCGAAAGCGUGGCCUAUCGAUCCUUUUGAAUUAGAAGGUCUCUAGCAAGAGGUGUCAGAAAAGUUACCACAGGGAUAACUGGCUUGUGGCAGCCAAGCGUCCAUAGCGACGUUGCUUUUUGAUCCUUCGAUGUCGGCUCUUCCUAUCAUUGCGAAGCAGAAUUCGCCAAGCGUUGGAUUGUUCACCCACCAAUAGGGAACGUGAGCUGGGUUUAGACCGUCGUGAGACAGGUUAGUUUUACCCUACUGUGACUCGUUGUUGCGAUAGUAAUCCUGCUUAGUACGAGAGGAACCGCAGGUUCAGACAUUUGGUUCAUGUGCUUGGCCGAUCGGCCAAUGGUGCGCAGCUACCAUCUGAGGGAUUAUGACUGAACGCGUCUAAGUCAGAAUCCUGCCUAGUCAAGGCAACGAUAAAUUUGCUCCUCGGUGUCGGGAGGCACUUCUAUGUAACUUUUCUUACUGCCUUCUUAGAUGGCCUUGCCAAGCUGCUGAAAGCUAGCCUGGUUGCCAAAACCGGACUACACGGUGCAACGUCAGGGCGCGAAAUCACUUGCGGACGACUUGAUUACUUGUCAAGGUGUUGUAUUCAGUACAGCAGCCUGCAUACUGCGAUCUGUUGAGACUUAUCCUUUGAUUGGACGUUUU